rfam:Myotis davidii contig39163, whole genome shotgun sequence.
AGCUUUGUGCAGUGGCAGUAUCAUAGCCAAUGAAGUUUAUCCAAAGAGCAGUUUUUGCUAAUUGAAAACUAUGGAUAAUCUCAAUGACUUUUUGCAUCUUUCUUACCCGAUA